CAGCAGCCACGGUAAUACGGAGGGAGCUAGCGUUGUUCGGAAUUACUGGGCGUAAAGCGCACGUAGGCGGCUUUGUAAGUUAGAGGUGAAAGCCUGGAGCUCAACUCCAGAAUUGCCUUUAAGACUGCAUCGCUUGAAUCCAGGAGAGGUGAGUGGAAUUCCGAGUGUAGAGGUGAAAUUCGUAGAUAUUCGGAAGAACACCAGUGGCGAGGCGGCUCACUGGACUGGUAUUGACGCUGAGGUGCGGAAGCGUGGGGAGCAAACAGGAUUAGAGACCCGCGUAGUCCCUGUCUCUUAUACA
rnacentral:rRNA from 1 species